UGUGUUGGAGGAGCCUCCCGUGAAUGAUAAACUGCAUGUGGAAGUUAUCAGCACCUCAACAAGGAUUGGCCUUCUACAUCCAAAGGUACGUAAGCUGCAAUUUACUCUUAUUUAUUUUCCUCAUCAGUAGACUGAAUGCUGCAAGUAAUAUUUGUCGAAAACUUAAGAUCACCAUCUAGUGUAUGAGUCAAAGUGUCCUUAGAAAUCAUAAUAAUGCCAUCUUUUAGUUUCAAAAGCUCAAAUCCAUCCGCCAUCAGUUAUUUCAUGAGAUAUUACUGGUUUUCCUAUUUUAAUGAGUUCCUAAGAAAUAUGUUCUCUUGUUUAUAUUGUCCUGCAAAUUUUCCCGUGGCCCUCCUCCCAGGACCCCAAAAAAGAGUUAUCAUCUUCAAUUAAUUCAGAGUUUUCAUUUAGCAAUAAUGAGUAUUUAAAAAAAAUUAAUUUAAUGAAUUUAUGGACCUUCUUUUGGGAAAGAAAACAUUAGUACAAUACUUUCCCUAAUAGUAAUGAAUUUAUUAACUUUAUAUGUGGCUUCAAUUAAGGACUUGACAUGGUUAGGGCAUGACUUUUCUAAUAGAAAUAAAAUUAAGAGAUAACCAUGCCCUAGUAUCCCUAAAUAUGAGCUGCAUAAGCUUUUGAUCUCUUGCCAACUCACCAAUUAUUUUUAUCAAUUUUGGAUAUCUCGUAUAUAGGGCUCUGCCAUGUAUUCCUAUGAUCAAUUUAGUAUGGGCGAUUAAGCAGUAACACUCUCUCAAGAUGAAAUGUUAUAUUUUCUGUUUUCGACAAAGUCGAAAAGCAGAUGGAAGGUAGUAUUAUUAUACUUGGAAGAUAAAAACACGUAUUCCAGAAAGGAUGGAGUAGGCUGCUUCUAUAUGCUACUGUUUUCAGUUGUUCGUUGCCCUACUAAAGCGUUAGCUUUUUUUCUUUUGGUGUACUUCUUAAUACAGGAAGUGUUAGGGUAUAUUGAUAUAAGUCUUUCAGAUGUCGUCCACAACACAAGGAUCAACGAGAAGUACAACCUCAUAGAUUCAAAAAAUGGACGGAUUCAAGUUGAGCUGCAAUGGAGGACCGCUAAAUAAUUCUAUCCCGCCUUUGCUAAGCUACAUAAGUUCCCUCUUAUGCUAAGACAGACAUUUUUCUCUCUUCAAACUUGUGUGUUGAAAAAUCAUCGAAUGUUUUGUGUACAUAGUACAAUGACAACCAGCUGGUUAUGGUUAUUUAUGUUUUCAGUACAGUUCUUCUCUGCAUAGCAGGUCGGUUCUGAAACGGCACCCCUUAGAUAUAUUUGAUUCUCAUCUUUCAUUAGAUAUUCUUUCUUGGUUGUUUUAGUCCUCAGAUAUUUGUUGAACUAAUCCAGUUAAGAGCGACUGAAACAAGAGUGAUUCAUAGGGACUUAAAAGAGGGGUUACCUCUUUUUAGUCUCGGAACUUCAGCUUGAUGAGAAAAAGGUGGUUCAGGUAAGGUCAACCUUAACCGGUGUAACAGAUUAAAUGAGUUUAAGUUAUAUGCACUGUCAAGAAUUUUUACUCCAAAAGUUGUAUACAAUUACAGUACAUAUAACUUAAAACUCGGAUGUAUUUGUUUACAUGUCUCGUGUGCGAAUAUUGAGUUGCCAAUCUGCUAAUACUGCCUAACAUUCUUGGGGACACUAGCACUAGAUUUUCCCAAAACAGGGAAGGUAUUAGUUGUAAGUUUUCUGUAAUUUUUUGGUUUUUUCUUGCCCAAUUGUUUUCUUGUUGCAGUGCAUGCAUCCGUCAGCCCCAAGCCCCUUCCAGGAAAAAAAGGUGCUUCGUGGAAUUUGUGUUUGUAUUCAAUAGGAAAACACGAGAUUACCAAUGGACUACAUUUUGCUUUUACGAGCCUAAUCCAAAAUAUGAACCAUGAGAGAAAAUACCUUUUGAAUAUAUGAAGAUACAAAAAUCUAAAUGUCGAAGAAAACUACUAAUAUACCUUUUGAAUAUAUGAAGAUACAAUAUAGGAUGUUUUCUGAGUCAAAAUUUUUGAAAAGAAAAUGGACCUGAAUUGAUAGGAAGUGAAUACGGAAGUUGAAUUGACGGAGACCGAAUAUUGGACAAGUUCCAGGAGGGAGGGAGGUGGAUAAAGAGUCUGGAACUCAAUUGUGGUCCUUUUAGACUCAAAAUACCGAAAUAAGUGGGAAGAAAAUUUAGUGACCAAAAUAUAUAAAACAUUGUUUUAAACCGCGGUUUACUUUAACGUCCGUUUGGGACGUUAAGGUAAAGCGCAUUUCUAAACCAUGUUUUAUAUAAAAUGCCUUUUCAAACAAACGCUUUACCUAUUUUGUGGACCCACCAAUAAUUCUUCUGCGCUUAACUGACACAACCAUAAUUCAAAUGGGUAAAACGCCCUUUUAAAAAGCGUUUUACUUCAAAAAAUUCGGCCCUCCCCCCCGGAGGUAUUGUCUUAUUUAAAGGUGUUAAGGGUUUUGCAAAAAAUUCAUUCAGAAAUAUUCUCAACUCCUGAUAAAUUUUUCUUCUUGUUAAAUUCUCAAGUUUUUUUUUCAUAAUGUUUGAAGAGCGAAAAGUAAGGGUUUCAUUAUAUUGAGGAGGGGGGGGGGGGGAGGUGAGGUUGUUGUGGCGAAUAAUUCAGUAAGCUAUAGUUUAUCUCCACAGAGUCAUGUUAAGUUGCCACUUUCAAUGGAGUACGAUAGACUGGUAUCGUUGUUAUGUAAUAAAAUGAGUGUGAGCAAACAUUUGGUGAAUCUUAAAAUAACCGGAAGAUAUCCGUAUUCUGUGACUCUGCAAGAGGUUGCUUGUUACGCUGAGUUUAACAUCGAGGAUGAUGAAACUCUAAGAGAUUUUUUGGGGACUUCGGAUAAAUACCGGGAAUUUAUUUUGAUAAAACUGUUGGAAAUGUACGUGAAGGUUGAAGACGUUCGCAAUAAUGCGGUUGUGCAAAGCAGGGAUAACCCUCAAUUAUCGGAUGGUUAUUCUGGAGAAGCUUUAGCCGAACAAGUUCCGGCUGAAAGAGUUUGGCCGGAUCUAAACUUAUUUCCACGGGCGAAUGAGGAGCGGGGAAAUAAUUUCUCUCCUACUUUACUGUGUUAGUUUUCUUAUUUUACAUGUUUGUUUUAUAAUUUUAUAUGUUUGUUUGUAAAUUAAAUAAUUUAUUUUUAUAAUUAUACAAUAUUUAAUUAUUAAAUAUUCACAUAUGGGUUCCGGGCUCGAUAUUUGAGGCCUAGUAGCACCAAGAUAUCCUGAAUUCUUGUAUGUGUUAGUUUUAUUAUUUUACAUGUUAGUUUUAUAAUUUUAUAUGUUUGUUUGUAAAGUAAAUAAUUAAGUUUUAUAUUUAUAUAAUAUUUACUUAUUAAAUAUUCACAUAUGGGUUGCAUGCUCGAUAUUUGUGGCCCAGUAGCACCAAGAUAUCCUGAAUUCUUGUAUGUGUUUGUUUUAUUAUUUUAUAUGUUUGUUUGUAAAUUAAAUAAUUAGUUUUUAUAAUUAUACAAUAUUUAAUUAUUAAAUAUUUAUAUAUGGGUUCCAGGCUCGAUAUUUGCAGCCCAGUAGCACCAAGAUAUCCGGAAAAUAUUAUUCUUUUCUCAUGUUAUUUUCUUACGAUCGUUCACUAUAAUUGGACAGAGUUUGUGUUUGAUCUAUCAAUUAUUUUGACGUAUUUUUGAGUAUAAGAGAUAAUUAAAUUACAAGGAUACUACGUUAAAAGACACUAUAUUCUAUUACGCUAAAAGAUAAUACAUUUUACUACCCUAAAAGGGCACUAUAUUACUAGUCUUUAAGUAAAUAAAUAAUAUAAACCAGAUAAAAAUAACAAAUACAUUUAAUCACAUAACAUUCACGAAAAUACAUAUACAACAGUAAAAAAAACUUAUUUACAUUUUUUUUAACAAAUAAUAAUGAUUUCUCAAUUUUUACAUAUUUUUUUAGCACAUUAAUAUCUAAGUCCGGAUAAAAUAACAUACCAAUGUAAUCGCAAAAAACACACAAAAUAACAUAGAACACAUAUAAAACAACUAAUAUAUAAUUUUUAUACAAGUUUCGACAAAAACUAAAUCGGAAUACCUCGAUUUAUGUUUUUUGGAAAGUUGAAAAUUGAAGAUUUGAGUACGAAACGAGCAAUCCACAACGAGAGAAGGCCUUAGCUAGGAUGUGAGACCAACACUCUUUACUUUUUGUGGGACGGGUAGGGUCCACUUGAGUUUUUUGGUCGUUAGGAGGGGGGGGGGGGACCGCUGGAACUAAUUUUAAAGGGGGGGGGGGGGGUUGCUUUCUGGUUCAGCGUGGGGGAAGGGAAGGGGACGGGUAUUUCAAUAGGUAAAACAUGGUUUAGUAAAGCGUUUUAUAUAAAACGCUUUAUCAAAUCAUGUGACGGGUAUUUCAAUAGGUAAAACAUGGUUUAGUAAAGCGUUUUAUAUAAAACGCUUUAUCAAAUCAUGUUUUACCUAAACGUCUUAUCAGCUUCAGGUAAAGCGUGGUUUGAAAAGGCAUUUUAUAUAAAACUUGGUUUUGAAACGCGCUUUACCUUAACGUCCCAAAUGGACGUUAAAGUAAAACGUGAUUUUGAAACGCAUUUUAUAUAGUUUGGUCAUUAAUUUGUUUCUACUUAUUUCGAUAUUUUGAGUCCAAAAAAGAUCACAAUUGAAUUCCGGACUCGGUGGAUAAAGGUGUUUUAGGAUAGCUCCCACGAGCCUUGUUCAGAAAAUGGAAAAGGAUGGGGUAAUACUCACUACUGAAAGGAUAAAUGCUCUAUAUAACUAGCUAGAGCAAUAAUGAAAUUAAUUGUUUCUUCUCCUUUAUUAUUCAACAAAAGAUCGAUAGAUAGAUUAGAUCGAAUUUGAGAUGUAAGCAUUUUAAGGAAAGUAAUAUGUCAUGAAAUCCGUACAAAUUUCGCUCGGUACUGGAUAAGCUUAUGGGUAGGUUUGCAUUUGUAUUAAAGAAGAAGUACGUGUAAGAAUAAAAUUCGAAACCUUGCACUAUUUCUUGGAUUGUGACCCAACCCAAAGAUAUGGAAAAGUUGAAAAAGGGGUAGGUAAAAUAUACUCAAGAACUUACACAAGUGGACAUCUUUCUCUCUCUCUCCGCCUCUGAAGUCAUCAACGCCAACUCAAGUUUAUGAUCAUGAUUCUUACGCACAAAUUGCUAUAUUAGGCAAAUUGGAGGAAUUUAAUACUCUAAAUAGCAUGGACAACAAGAUCGAGGUGAAUCAAUCUUCCCAAU
rnacentral:lncRNA from 1 species